rnacentral:lncRNA from 1 species
CCCAAGUUUAGCAAUUACAACAAAAGUACUUAUCACUCCCUCUUCUGUGACUCUCGUGUUCCCUCACAUUCAUUAUAUUUAGUCUAAAUAUAAUAUUUCUACAAUAACUACCAAACGAAAAUUUUAGCAACAAGCACAAAAACUUUCAACACACACCUAAUCUAGAGGAUGUUAACUUAGGGGAGAACAAGUAUUCCUUGCAUGAGAAUAAGAUCCACAAAAUCUACAAAUCACAUCCAAUUAUACAUGGAAGGAAUAUUCCUUGCUUUAACAUGUUGCUCAAAUUGUCUUUACUAAAUGAGUCAACCAAUGCAACAACACUAAGGUCUUUUACUCUCAAGAACACAAUGAGAUUGCAAUAUUUGGAGAAUGAACUUGCUAGAACAACUUGUAAUUUUUCUAGUUUAGAAUUUUUUUAAAAAAUAAACACUUCGUGUUUUGAAAUGAGUUUAUGUCAUUUAUUUCUACGAUACAAUAUUGGAUAAAUCAACUAUCAUUGAGUUGGAAAACUUGCUCGAAUCAAGAAGAAUUGAAGAAGAAACAAAUGGUUGGCAACAAGCAAUCUCAACCCGAGGUGGAAGUUGUUCUUUAUGCAGAAGAUAAGGGAAGAGCUAAUUGUUCUUUCAAACGUUCUUGUAAUGACAGCAAUGAUUCCAAGGUUGAAGUGCAAAUUGACAAGGGAUGUUUUAGGUGUGGCAAGCCAGGGCACAUCAAACAUGAUUGUUAGACGAAGGUAUAGUGUCUCAUCGUUGUGGAAUAUGACUAAAUUGUCCGAAACGGAAGCAAAUGUUGUACAUGAAAGUAACAAACCUUAGCAAGCUAAAUGGGACUUGUUCCAAAGCCAAAGAAUUUCAAGUUAGUUACUUGUAAAUGAGUUUAUAAAUUGAACAAAAAGCUUGAUGGUACUAUUCAUAGGAAUAAACUUGUCUUCUCGCUCCUGAUUUUCCACAACAAUAUGGUUUGCAUUGUUUUCACUUUGAUGAAGGUAGAACUCAAUUGAGACACUUGAUGCAUUCUCUUCUUCCCAUUUGAUGCUUUUGGGAUCUUUUGUCCACAGGAACAUACAGGUACCAGUUGAGCUAAGCUCAUGUUGGCACCUUCAUCUUCUUUUACUAACCCUUUUUUUUUAAUCAAUUUUAGAACAAUAACUGUCCUCCACUAAAAUUUUAAAAUAUAGCUUUAAAUAUGUUUUAAAGAGUUUUGAAUGUGCAUAAAUUUUGUGUCCUACUUUUUUAAAUAGGGAUUAAAAUUAGCAAUAUACAUAUAGAUAGAGAUGACAGAAAACAAAAGUUUUGAAAGUACAGAAACUAAAUUCAACAGAACCCACUUCCUUAUCAAAUACAAUACAAAUGCAAAGAUAUCAAUAAUAAUAAUUUAAAAAAUCAGGCAUCAAGGCUAGAGCAAGCAAGCCAUGUGUUUGUUUUAAAAGAGUGGGACAACAAAACGGGGUCGUAAACUCUGUACUCCACAAGCAACAAGUCAAACCUCCCACAAGAUGGAAGGAAGAAUGAAACCUAACUCUCGAAAAGAGAAUGAACUUUCAGCAAUAAACCAAACAAUUUGCAGAAUAUGUUCCCACCAGCAACACCAUCGAAGCCUUCCCAUCAAAACCCACAAUACAAAAAAGAAAAAAAAAAAUGCAUUUAUACAUACCCUUUUGCCCUUGGAUAUGGGUGUCGCAUUAGCAUGGCGCUCCAGAGCCCCCACAUCUCUUUGGGACAUUUCGUCGAAAACCUGUCAGUUGCAGUUGUAAGCAUAGAGCACCACUAAUAGAUACAUUCUGGUUCUGCCCUAAGUUAAACACCAAAAGUUGAAUUGAUCCUUGAAUGUUUGAAAUGAUACGAUUUAUGACGUUGAGCCGACAGAAAUAUGUGGAAGCCAAACUUGACUCGGCAUGGCCGAAUGACCCCCCCACCCCAACCGUUUAACCUUGCCCAGCUUUUUCUUUUUUAAAACUAUUUCUCACUUUUUUUUUUUUUUCAAAUGAAGAAAUAUGAUUUUAGAGUAUAUAUUUUUUCAUUUUCUAUUUUCCCAGUAAUUAUAAUACUUUUAUGAAAUUAAGCUUCCCUUAUUUGGGAUGGAAAUAGGGUUUUCUAAAGUUAUUAUUAAAAUAACUAGUUACUUCAUUACACAUAUUUGUCACCUAUUUCGACCAUAUCUAUACAUUUUAAAUAGUUUGUACUUCAUAACUAUUAAUUCAUAUCCUUUCUAUUUGUAUAGAACAAAAGUUGAUGAUGAUCACUCUUAAGAUAAUGUGUGAAACAAAUUUUUUUUCUAAUUUUAAACAAUUUAAAGUAGAGUAAAAUUUAUCAUCUAUCGCGGAUAGACUAUAUUUAUAAAUUUUUUUGCCUUUUGUUAUAUUUACUAAUAUUUUCAAUCAAGUUGUGAUAUUUUCAACCGAUCCAAACCAUUAUGAGUGAAUCAUUUAGGUCUCAUUUCACGACAAUUUAUUUUUUUAAGUUUUUAAUUAAUUUUUUAAAAUUAACUAAUUAAGCUUAUAGAUAUUGUUUUUCCUCAAAGUUCAUAUAUUUGGUUGUUGUUUUCUUUUUAAAAUAACUUCAUCUUUUUAACUUUUGACUAAAAAAUCCAAGUAAUUUUUAAAGGUAGGCGAAAUUUUAAUAAUAAAAUUGAAAAAAAAUUAUAAAUAUUUGAUGGACUUUACUAUUUUUUAACACUGGUUGAAAGUAAUUUUGUAAAUAAAUUGCAUGCUUAAAAAAUUGUUUGUUACUUUGUUAAUUGUAGAAGGCUUAUAUUGGCCUAAAUUGAACUAACUUCGUUUGAUUUAUGGAAAAAAAAAAAAAAAAAUUUAUCGAGCAAUUAUAUUCACCCAUAUCUCUCCCUUCUACUUUUCCACCAAAUUUUAAUACCAUGCUUUGCCAAUCCUUUUUGUUGGUGUAUGCUGAUACUUGUCACAUCACAUUCUUCAAAAUUUUCGCUUUUCAUUCUAACAAUUAAUGUUCGUUAUAUUUGAGAUUAAAUAUUUUCUUUUGUAUUGAUUCGCUAUUUGUAAUAUUUUUUCACUAAUAGAUCAUAUUAUUCAAUUGUAUUAAACAGAUCACACUAUCUAUUUAUUUUAAUGAAUUAUUGAAUCAAACCUAUUCACUUUCCGAUUGUUUUUCUUUUCUUUUUUCACAUGUUUUAAAUUAUUUUUUAAAACUUCACUAUCACAACAUAUCAUCAACUUUCAAAAUGUCACGUAGAUAAUAAUAAAAUUACAAUAUUUUUUCACUAAUAGAUCGUAUUUCGUUCUUUCAAACUCUUCUUUUAUUUUACUCUAAAUUUGAGUACGCUAAAUAGGUCUUAAGUUUCGUAAGACCAUUGAUUGAAUUCCAUUAGUGCCAAAAACACAAGACCUUCGUGUUUAAGAAAUCCACAGAAAAAAAAUACUCGGGUUUCACACACCAUUUAAGAGAUAGAGAAUAAGAGAGGCUUUCGCAUUUCUUAAAUGCAUCAUUAUAAGAAAAUAAUAAAGAACAAUAACAUUCCAAACACACUUUUCUUUUAGUAUGGAAGAAUGUUUUAUAAUUUAUACAUUGUUACUCGUUAUAGGGUAAAAAAUAUUCAUAUUCUUUAAAAAAACCCGAAACAUUACACUUAAUUUUCAAUAAAUACUUCAAAAUUAACCUCGAGUAGAAAUUAACUAAAAAUGUUUUAUGAUAAUUGGAUAUGAAAUAAGUGUGUUGUGAGCUAGCUAGUGUGGUUGGAUCUUAAUUUCUAUGAAUUUUUUAUUAUAUAUAUUUCAAAAGUAGUUUUUGUAUAAUUCUUAAAUGAAAAAUAGAAAUAUUACCUUCUUAAAACAUUUAAAACAAAGAUUUCUUACAAAGAAAAAAACAAAGAUGAAAAUAUUCAUAAGUUUCUUUUCUUUUUUUCUUUUCUAAUUUAGCUUACAUUUCUUUGUUUUUAUUCCCCUUUCUUCAUGCCCUAUUUCCUACACACACACACAAAUAAAAAAAAUCAUGCAUAGUAAGACCUAAAAGUGAUAGGUAGCUUACAUUUGAUAGAUAAAAUAUGUGGCCAUCAAUUUUUUUCACAAGAACGUUUUAAUUAAAGUAAUGAAAAAUAUUAUAAAUUUAAUGUUAAUUUUCUAUUACGUACCUGUGAAACCAAUUGUUUCUAUAUUCAAAAUACAGGAUUGAGAAGUUUUAACUUCUAAUAUCUAACUUUAUGCAAAUUGAACUAAUUCAUACGGACAAAGAGAAGUAAAGUAAAGUCUAACAUCUAUUCUUAAAAAAUUAGCAUUCUUUUAGCAAAAAAUGUAAAUCAACAUUUUUUUAAAAAGCAAUCUUCCUUAGACACAACUAACAUCAACACAAUCUUCAUGGAGAAUAAUAGAGAACAACAAUUUGAAAAGCAAAACUCUCCACUUCUCGAGUAGAAAGAAGAAGAAGGUAGUUAGAACACCGAAAUAAUAAAAGAAACAAUUCAAACAAAUGUAUGAGCCACAAAAUUACAUAAGAAAACGAGAACAAUUAACCUAAGCAAAGAUACUUGUAGAUUGUGUUUCUAUUUUUAAGAGAAUCGAUGACGACUCAACGAAAGCACACUUAAUUUCAAUUGAAUUAACGUCAACUUCAAAUUAAAUGUAGGAUCUUUAGUUAGGUAUAUGUCGAUCGAUCAAUAGAGUCAUUAUUCCAUAGACGGACCAAUCCAAGUAAAGAUGUAUAGGAAUGAAAGAAGAGAAUUAGGAUUAUAGGGUUGAAUUGGAUGAAUUUAGUUAAAAUUAAUUUGGCAUUAGGACAAAUCACUCUGUCAUUUUCCCCUUCUCAUAUUUCAAUGUUUGCUGACAGCUAAUUUAUCUUUAUCCUAAAUCCUCUUUUAGAAAAAAUAAAUGCUUUAAUUUUCCAAUGGCGACGAAAUUUUUUAAUCAUUACAUUCCUAUAAUACUUUGAAGAAUAUUUAGAUUCAUUCUUUUAGGUUAUUUCACUACCCACCGAUAAACACACACAAAAAGAAGAUAAAAACUAAAAAUAUAGAAAAACCUACCCAUUUUUUAGAUAAAAUAUUAGUUUAGUUAUUUAGAUUCGUGAUAUUUUAUUAUAUUUUUAUAAAUAUUUUAAUUUAUUUUUGCUAAACUCAAAUAUAAAUGAUCGAAUAUUUAUGCUAGAAGUAUAUUUUAUAACAUAGAGAUUGACAUUUUUUAAAUUAUGAACUCUAUAUUAAUUCAUAAAUAAUAUCGACCAAAAAUCAAUUUAUUUUGAUUUUAGUUUUGUAAUUUUUAUGGAAACUAUUAGUAGAAUAUCAUUCACCACUCAAAUACUUUAAUUUUGUGUCCCAUUUAUAGCCCCUUUCCCUAUUUAAGUCCUUUCAUAUCUUAUCUCUCUUUUCUAUGCUCUCUCUUUUCUCUCUCUCUCACAAAAUUUCUUCCAACUUUAGAGCAUAUGGGAAAUCAUGGAGAAUUGCAGCUACAAUUUGGGAGUAAGUCUUUCUUUUUUUUCCUUUUUUUCCCCUUCAAUCUAAUGGUAUAUUUAUAGAUUAUUUUAUUGACGGAGGUAACAUAUCGACCAUGAAAUUCUUGGUAAAUUUUCACCCACAUGAAAAUCUAGUUGAAAGAAUAUUGCUCAUAAGUCACUAACAUAGACAUAGUUGUUGACUGUCCUAAUUAACUUCAUUUCCAUCUUAAUGUCUUCUUUUUAUGCUAAGAAAUAUUCUUUCUUUGCUAAAAUGGUAGAUUUUUGUUUGUAAGUUUCACCUGGUUGUAGGGUCAUGAAUGUGUUUAUUGAUUUAUUUUGUAGUUUUAUGUCUCCAAAUUUUCACUCUGGACCUCUCUCAAUAAACAAAAUACAAUUAUUAUUAUUAUUUUUUUUUUUUGUCAAUUAUGAGGUAGAAAAUUUGAAUUUUCGACUUUUAGGAAUGAAAGUUAUACGUCAAUUACUAUCCUUUUAAUAAGACAAAUUAGAAGUUUUUGUAUGGAUGUCCCAUUACUUCACAAAAGAUGAUACGUAGAACUUUUUACUUAUAUCAUCAUUCACUGUCAUAAUUUGUAAGCUUAUAGGAAUAAGUAUGUGUAUCAUUGUAACGUGAUGUGACCUCCCUAUUGCAAUUUUUUUUUUUUUUGUGUUUUAUUUUUUUCUCAAAAUUAGUUAUUUUUUGUUCACAAAAUGAAUAUAAUCGGGAUAAGGAUGGUCAUCGGGAUUUGGAUCCUUUGGUUAUCUAAACGUUUUUUUUAUCUAAACGGUAAAAGUGUAAAUGGUCAUAUAGAAAGUGCCUAAAUAAUCGUGUAAGAGGGUAAACGAUCACAAUCAUUUGAAAGCUAAAUGAUCGUGUAAGAGGUUGUACACACAUAUGUCUAUGGUAUGAGAUGAUUUAAAACUAAACUGAAGCCAAACCAAACAUGAGAAUUUGGUUUCGAUUCGGUUUGACACAGAUGAACAAUUCGGUUCAAUUUAAGAUAAGAAUUUUUUUACAUUCUACGAUUCAGUGCAAUUCAGCUUCAAACCAAACUAAACCAAACCAUGAACACCCUACUUAAAUUAGUUGAGAAGUACUAUAUUUAAUUUAUAUAAUUUAACUCAUUUUAAAUAUUAUAUAUAUACAAAUAUAUACUUAACCAAUUGCAUCCUACUCUUUUAUCAUAUUAAUAUGUUUGGUUAUACAUGAGACAGAAACCGAAGACGAAGAGAAAAGCAUGAAAGUGAGCCCUGGAAAGCAAACAAGCUCCGUGAACCUAAUCCAACAACAACCAAGAAUAAGUAGCACAAAAACCAAAGGAACUUACCAAAGAUGGCUAAGAAUUGGUGUUUACAUUUUCUUGCUCCUUGCUGGCCAGUCAGUGGGAG